GAUGAACGCUGGCGGCGUGCCUAAUACAUGCAAGUCGAGCGAACAGACGAGGAGCUUGCUCCUUUGACGUUAGCGGCGCACGGGUGAGUAACACGUGGGUACCCUACCUAUAAGUCUGGGAUAAUUUCGGGAAACCGGAGCUAAUCCCGGAUAAUAUUUCGCACCGCAUGGUUCGAUAGUGAAAGAUGGCUUUGCUAUCACUUAUAGAUGGACCUGCACCGUAUUAGCUAGUUGGUAAGGUAACGGCUUACCAAGGCAACGAUCCGUAGCCGACCUGAGAGGGUGAUCGGCCACACUGGAACUGAGGCACGGUCCAUACGCCUACGGGAGGCAGCAGUAGGGAAUCUUCCGCAAUGGGCGAAAGCCUGACGGAGCAACGCCGCGUGAGUGAUGAAAGUCUUCGGAUCGGAAAACGCUGUUAUUAGGGAAGAACAAACGUGUAAGGAACUGUGCAGGUAGUGACGGUACCGAAUCAGAAAGCCACGGCUAACUACGUG
rnacentral:rRNA from 1 species